rnacentral:rRNA from 1 species
GAUGAACGCUGGCGGCGUGCCUAAUACAUGCAAGUCGAGCGAACGGACGAGAAGCUUGCUUCUCUGAUGUUAGCGGCGGGCGGGAGAGUAACACGUGGAUAACCUACCUAUCAUACUGGGAACACUUCGGGAAACCGGAGCUAAUCGCGGAUAAUAUUUUGCACCGCAUGGGUGAAAAGUGAAAGACGGUGUUGCUGUCACGUAUAGCUGGAUCCGCGCUGCAUUAGCUGGUUGGUCAGGUAAUGGCUUUCCACGGCGAGGAUGCAUAGCCGACGGGAGAGGCGGAUCGGCGACCCGGGAACGGAGACACGGACCAGACGCCUACGGGAGGCAGCAGUAGGGAAUCUUCCGCAGUGGGCGAAAGCCUGACGGAGCAACGCGACGUGAGUGAUGAAGGCCUUCGGAUCGUAAAGCUCUGUUACUAGUGAAGAACAGAUGUGUAAGUAACUGUGCACAGCGUGACGGUACCGAAUCAGAAAGCAACGGCUAACUACGUG